CACGCUGGCGGCGUGCCUAAUACAUGCAAGUCGAGCGGAUGACGAGGAGCUUGCUCCUCUGAUUCAGCGGCGGACGGGUGAGUAACACGUGGGCAACCUGCCUGUAAGACUGGGAUAACUCCGGGAAACCGGGGCUAAUACCGGAUAGGUGAUGUCUUCGCAUGAAGAGAUCAGGAAAGAUGGCUUCGGCUAUCACUUACAGAUGGGCCCGCGGCGCAUUAGCUAGUUGGUGAGGUAACGGCUCACCAAGGCGACGAUGCGUAGCCGACCUGAGAGGGUGAUCGGCCACACUGGGACUGAGACACGGCCCAGACUCCUACGGGAGGCAGCAGUAGGGAAUCUUCCGCAAUGGACGAAAGUCUGACGGAGCAACGCCGCGUGAGCGAAGAAGGUCUUCGGAUCGUAAAGCUCUGUUGUUAGGGAAGAACAAGUACCGUUCGAAUAGGGCGGUACCGUGACGGUACCUAACCAGAAAGCCACGGCUAACUACGUG
rnacentral:rRNA from 1 species